rnacentral:tRNA from 2 species
GGAGGAUUGGAUGAGUGGUUGAAAUCAACAGUUUACUAAACUGUCGAGCCCUAACGGGUUCCGUGAGUUCGAAUCUCACAUCCUCCG